rnacentral:rRNA from 1 species
AUACGUAGGUGGCAAGCGUUGUCCGGAAUUAUUGGGCGUAAAGCGCGCGCAGGUGGUUUCUUAAGUCUGAUGUGAAAGCCCACGGCUCAACCGUGGAGGGUCAUUGGAAACUGGGAGACUUGAGUGCAGAAGAGGAUAGUGGAAUUCCAAGUGUAGCGGUGAAAUGCGUAGAGAUUUGGAGGAACACCAGUGGCGAAGGCGACUAUCUGGUCUGUAACUGACACUGAGGCGCGAAAGCGUGGGGAGCAAACAGGAUUAGAUACCCUGGUAGUCCACGCCGUAAACGAUGAGUGCUAAGUGUUAGGGGGUUUCCGCCCCUUAGUGCUGCAGCUAACGCAUUAAGCACUCCGCCUGGGGAGUACGGUCGCAAGACUGAAACUCAAAUGAAUUGACGGGG